UACGAAGGGGGCUAGCGUUGUCCGGAUUCAUUGGGCGUAAAGAGCGUGUAGGCGGCCAGGUAGGUCGGUUGUGAAAACUGGAGGCUCAACCUUCAGAGGUCGACCGAAACCAUCUGGCUAGAGUCCGGGAGAGGAGAGUGGAAUUCCUGGUGUAGCGGUGAAAUGCGCAGAUAUCAGGAAGAACACCCGUGGCGAAAGCGGCUCUCUGGGACGGUACUGACGCUGAGGCGCGAAAGCGUGGGGAGCGAACAGG
rnacentral:rRNA from 1 species